rnacentral:rRNA from 1 species
GACGAACGCUGGCGGCGUGCCUAAUACAUGCAAGUUGAGCGAUGAAGUUUGGUGCUUGCACCAAUUUGAAGAGCAGCGAACGGGUGAUUAACGCGUGGGGAAUCGGCUUUUGAGGGGGGGACAACAUUGGAAAACGAAUGCUAAUACGCCAUAAUAACUUUAAGAAUAGUAUUCAGUUUUGAAAGAGCCACUUACUUCACUAAAUGAUGAUCCGGCGUUGAAUUAGUUAGUUGCUGAGGUAAAGGCGCACAAAGCCGAUGAUACAUAGCCGCCGGGAGAGGGUGACCGGCCAAAUUGGGAAUGGGACACGGCCCAAACCCCUACGGGAGGCAGCAGUAGGGAAUCUUCGGCCACGGACGAAAGACGGACCGAGAAACGCCGCGUGAGUGUAGAAGGUUAUCGGAACGUAAAACUCCGUUAGUAGAGAAGAACGUUGGUGAGAGUGGAAAGCUCAUCAAGUGACGGUAACUACCCAGAAAGCGACGGCUAACUACGUG